GUCUCCCAAAAUGCCAGGAUUGCAGGCUCAAGCUGCCGUGCCCCGUCCUGGUGGCACAUUUUAAAAUGCAGAACACUGACUGAUAGGAUCUUUUCUGGAAAAGGUCAGCUGGGGAUAAACCAUGUCAUUGUCACCACCUCUGUUAUCACCACUGAGUACCUAAUGGGUGCUGAGCACUUCCCAACACUAUCCCUCUUGCAUGUGCAGCCCUGAAGUCAGUGAUCCAUCUUUUACAGAGGAGAAAAUGGAAGUUCAGAGAGGUUAAGUAAGAGACAGACAACAUAGCCGCUCUGCCUCACCUCCUCUCCCCAUCACCCUCUGCAUUCCUGCCGGUCGGUCCUUCUUCCAGCCACUUUCUGGAUACACUCCUCAGCUCUGGAACUUUGCACAUGUGGUUCUUCCACCCUGUCGGCUAGACGACCCAUUCUCAGGCCACUGGAAGCCUUCCAUGACACUCAACAAGGUCAAGUCGCUGCCCAUAUGUGCUGCUCAAGUGGCUUCUCUGCCCCUCCAAAUAUGCCUCAUCACACCUUGUGAAUGAUUGGUUAGUCACUUCCAUGAGGGCGGACCGCUUUGCGUAUUCUCAGGUGUUUCUCCAGCACCUGGCACCGCACAUUGUGUAGUGCUCAAGAAGAGUUUGCUGAAAGAAUGAAUAACGAAUGAAGUUAAGAAAGAAUGAUGAAGUACUCAAGGCCAAAUGCACGGGGGGAAGGGACUUAAGUCAGCUGACCUUCACAUCCCCUCCAUCAUCUUUUGGCCAUAGUUCAUGGUCUUUGAUCAAUUCCCCAGGGGUUAGAGAUUCACAGCCACAGUUAGUAAACAUUUAAGCUCUGUCA